GCAACUCGCCUACAUGAAGUCGGAAUUGCUAGUAAUCGCGGAUCAGCAUGCCGCGGUGAAUACGUUCCCGGGCCUUGUACACACCGCCCGUCACGCCAUGGGAGUCGGUAACACCCGAAGCCUGUAGUCUAACCGCAAGGGGGACGCAGUCGAAGGUGGGAUUGAUGACUGGGGUGAAGUCGUAACAAGGUAGC
rnacentral:rRNA from 1 species